rnacentral:lncRNA from 1 species
UCUUAAAGCUUUUGAUACAAAAUAAAAAUAUGUUGAAGUUCUAAAAAGAACAUUUCUCUUGGGCUGGGGAUUUAACUCAGUGGUUCUGCUGCCUGCAUUGUAAGCCCAAGGUCCUGAGUUGGAUCCCCAGUACAAAAAAAAAAGAGCAUUUCCCUCAGUAUUUUUGUUUUUAUAAGCUCUUUGUUCUAAAGAGAAAUAAAAUAAUUAAAAUCAAAAUCAUAAGAUAUUUAUAGCAGCCAACGAGUUCAUAUCAAGAUGUUCCAUUUUUAUUACCAAGGAUCUUUUCAAUUAAAACCUUUAGGAGGUGUAACUCAUAAAAUCAGCACCUGUCACAAUACAUGGUCAUUAUCAGUUUGUGAGCUUUGAUCACCAGUAAUUCCCAUUGGGAAAGAGAUGUUGAACUUCAGAGAUCUGAGACUUUCCUCACACUGUCAGUGUGCACCCAGUGUGUACUUGUGUCACGUGUUGUAGAUCUCAAUGUGUGUACUGUCCUUUGGGGACCAUUUAUCUUGUUGAUUCCUAGAAUGAGGACCCUAGUCCAAGAAUCAAGACAUCUGAGUUCUAGUCCUAGUUUUGCCUUCAGGGAGCCACCAGUAUCUCAGUCUAACCCCUCACCCUGAGCACUGGGCAGCCUGAGGGUCCCGGGCAGCCCCAUGAGCCUCUGCAGAGAGACUCACAUCCUGUUGACAGGGCUCUGCACCAAGGAGAGAACCCAUGGGUGUUACUCUUUGUUUAAAUGAUUCUCAAGAGCUGAAAGCUCACUGCAGCAGAACACAGACUACUCUGAAGAUUGCUGAACUGGCCCAGUGCUUUCACUUGAUAGAGGUAAUUACUUUUAUUUCAUAGUCUGUGCACUUAGAAAUUCUUAGCAAUUUUGUUACUUUACUGGGGAAAAAGACAACCCUUCCUCAUGAGGAAUUAAAAGAUGUGUAGAAGUGAUGGCUUGCUUUAAUAACAUGGAGAUGACUGGGUUUGCUGUGACUCACCCUGUUCUCAGGAGGAAAUGAAGGGAAUCGUCAUCUUUGUUCACAGAGCUCUUGGUUGCUGUUGGAACCCUUGUAUGUAACUGUUACUCUCGUUACUUUGCUGUGUCAAUUAGAAAUAUGUAUCCCAUAAAGUAUUUCUCCCAUUGAGUCUACUUAUACUUUGCCUAGAUCUUUCCAAAG